rnacentral:rRNA from 1 species
CAGCAGCCGCGGGAAUACAGAGGGUGCGAGCGUUAAUCGGAUUUACUGGGCGUAAAGCGUGCGUAGGCGGCUUCUUAAGUCGGAUGUGAAAUCCCUGAGCUUAACUUAUGAAUUGCAUUCGAUACUGGGAAGCUAGAGUAUGGGAGAGGAUGGUAGAAUUCCAGGUGUAGCGGUGAAAUGCGUAGAGAUCUGGAGGAAUACCGAUGGCGAAGGCAGCCAUCUGGCCUAAUACUGACGCUGAGGUACGAAAGCAUGGGGAGCAAACAGGAUUAGAUACCCCUGUAGUCCCUGUCUCUUAUAC